CUGCGGAGGGAUCAUUACUGAGUUAC
rnacentral:rRNA from 1 species